GGUGAGUAAUACAUCGGAAACGUGCCCAGUAGUGGGGGAUAGUCCGCGAAAGCCGGAUUAAUACCGCAUACGACCUGAGGGUGAAAGCGGGGGAUCUUCGGACCUCGCGCUAUUGGAGCGGCCGAUGGCAGAUUAGCUAGUUGGUGGGGUAAAGGCCUACCAAGGCGACGAUCUGUAGCUGGUCUGAGAGAACGACCAGCCACACUGGGACCGAGACACGGCCCAGACUUCCUACGGGAGGCAGCAGUGGGGAAUUUUGGACAAUGGGCGAAAGCCUGAUCCAGCAAUGCCGCGUGUGUGAUGAAGGGCUUCGGGUGUAAAGCACUUUUGGCGGGAACGAAAAGGACUGUGCCAAUACCACGGUUCGAUGACGACCCGCAGAAUAAACCGG
rnacentral:rRNA from 1 species